rnacentral:rRNA from 1 species
GAUGAACGCUGGCGGCGUGCUUAACACAUGCAAGUCGAACGGCAAAACCGUAGUUUGUUGUGUUGGAUGAGUGGCGAACGGGUGAGUAACACGUGAGCAACCUGCCCUUGACUUUGGGAUAAGUGCAGGAAACGGCGUCUAAUACUGGAUAUGUGACGCGACAGCAUGGUAUGCGUGUGAAAAGAUGACGCGGUGGGGGUUGGGGUGGCGGUUUACGAGCUUGUUGGUGGGGGGUUGGAUGCCCAAGGAGUCGACGGUUAGCCGGCCUGCGGGGGUGACCGGCCACACUGGGACUGAGACACGGCCCAGACUCCUACGGGAGGCAGCAGUGGGGAAUAUUGCACAAUGGGCGCAAGCCUGAUGCAGCAACGCCGCGUGAGGGAUGACGGCCUUCGGGUUGUAAACCGCUUUAGGCUGGGAAGAAGCGAAAGUGACGGUACCUGCAGAAAAAGCACCGGCUAACUACGUG